UACAGAGGUCCCGAGCGUUGUUCGGAUUCACUGGGCGUAAAGGGUGCGUAGGUGGCGAGGUAAGUCGGAUGUGAAAGCUCGGAGCUCAACUCCGAAAUGGCAUUGGAAACUACCUUGCUCGAGGGUUGGAGGGGGGACGUGGAAUUCUCGGUGUAGCAGUGAAAUGCGUAGAUAUCGAGAGGAACACCAGUGGCGAAGGCGAGUCCCUGGACAACUCCUGACACUGAGGCACGAAAGCUAGGGGAGCAAACAGG
rnacentral:rRNA from 1 species